rnacentral:misc_RNA from 1 species
CUGAUUUGGCAAACCGAGCGUUAGCGAGGUUUUGCGAUCACACUUAUAUUUAAAACCCAACUCUUUAAAUAUAUAUAUUUGUAUUUUAAAUGAUAAAAAUAAAGA